AUUGAACGCUGGCGGCAUGCCUUACACAUGCAAGUCGAACGGUAACAGGUUAAGCUGACGAGUGGCGAACGGGUGAGUAAUGUAUCGGAACGUGCCCAGUCGUGGGGGAUAACUGCUCGAAAGAGCAGCUAAUACCGCAUACGACCUGAGGGUGAAAGCGGGGGAUCGCAAGACCUCGCGCGAUUGGAGCGGCCGAUAUCAGAUUAGGUAGUUGGUGAGGUAAAGGCUCACCAAGCCGACGAUCUGUAGCUGGUCUGAGAGGACGACAGCCACACUGGGACUGAGACACGGCCCAGACUCCUACGGGAGGCAGCAGUGGGGAAUUUUGGACAAUGGGCGCAAGCCUGAUCCAGCCAUGCCGCGUGCGGGAAGAAGGCCUUCGGGUUGUAAACCGCUUUUGUCAGGGAAGAAAAGGUUCUGGCUAAUACCUGGGACUCAUGACGGUACCUGAAGAAUAAGCACCGGCUAACUACGUG
rnacentral:rRNA from 1 species